rnacentral:rRNA from 1 species
ACGGGGUAUUGCCUUAGUAGCGGCGAGUGAAGCGGCAAAAGCUCAAAUUUGAAAUCUGGCACUUUCAGUGUCCSAGUUGUAAUUUGAAGAAGGUAUCUUUGGGUCUGGCUCUUGUCUAUGUUUCUUGGAACAGAACGUCACAGAGGGUGAGAAUCCCGUGCGAUGAGAUGUCCCAGACCUAUGUAAAGUUCCUUCGAAGAGUCGAGUUGUUUGGGAAUGCAGCUCUAAGUGGGUGGUAAAUUCCAUCUAAAGCUAAAUAUUGGCGAGAGACCGAUAGCGAACAAGUACAGUGAUGGAAAGAUGAAAAGAACUUUGAAAAGAGAGUGAAAAAGUACGUGAAAUUGUUGAAAGGGAAGGGCUUGAGAUCAGACUUGGUAUUUUGUAUGUUACUCUCUCGGGGGUGGCCUCUACAGUUUACCGGGCCAGCAUCAGUUUGAGCGGUAGGAUAAGUGCAAAGAAAUGUGGCACUGCUUCGGUAGUGUGUUAUAGUCUUUGUCGAUACUGCCAGCUUAGACUGAGGACUGCGGCUUCGGCCUAGGAUGUUGGCAUAAUGAUCUUAAGUCGCCCGUCUUGAAACAMGGGACCCAAAA